GGAGAGGUGGCCGAGUGGUCGAAGGCGCACGCCUGGAAAGUGUGUAGACGGCAACGUCUCCAGGGUUCGAAUCCCUGUCUCUCCG
rnacentral:tRNA from 1 species